rnacentral:ribozyme from 1 species
UGCAGAGGACACCCGAGGAUCCCUCGGGUGUAAUGCACACCGACGAUUGUCGUCGGUUCGGUUCCAAGUCCGG